rnacentral:rRNA from 1 species
UACAGAGGUCUCAAGCGUUGUUCGGAUUCAUUGGGCGUAAAGGGUGCGUAGGCGGCGCGCUAAGUCAGGUGUGAAAUUUCGGAGCUUAACUCCGAAACUGCCCUUGAUACUGGCGGUCUCGAGUCCGGGAGAGGUGAGUGGAACUGCGAGUGUAGAGGUGAAAUUCGUAGAUAUUCGCAAGAACACCAGUGGCGAAGGCGGCUCACUGGCCCGGUACUGACGCUGAGGUGCGAAAGCGUGGGGAGCAAACAGG